AACUAACGCUGGCGGCGUGCUUAACACAUGCAAGUCGCACGAGAAAGGGUCCUUCGGGACCUGAGUAAAGUGGCGCACGGGUGAGUAACGCGUGGAUAAUCUGCCCCUCAGUUGGGAAUAACUCAUCGAAAGGUGGGCUAAUACCGAAUAAUACUGUGAGACUUUGGUCGAUCAGUCAAAGAGAGCCUCUGCUUGCAAGCCCUCGCUGAAGGAUGAGUCCGCGUACCAUUAGCUUGUUGGCAGGGUAAUGGCCUACCAAGGCGACGAUGGUUAGCUGGUCUGAGAGGAUGAUCAGCCACACUGGAACUGAGACACGGUCCAGACUCCUACGGGAGGCAGCAGUGAGGAAUCUUGCGCAAUGGGGGCAACCCUGACGCAGCAACGCCGCGUGAGUGAGGAAGGUCUUCGGAUCGUAAAGCUCUGUCAGUUGGGAAGAACUACCUAAGGGUAAAUAUCUCUUAGGCUUGACGGUACCAACAGAGGAAGCACCGGCUAACUCCGUGCCAGCAGCCGCGGUAAUACGGGGGGUGCAAGCGUUGUUCGGAAUUAUUGGGCGUAAAGAGCGUGUAGGCGGCCUGAUGUGUCAGAUGUGAAAGCCCUGGGCUUAACCCAGGAAGUGCAUUUGAAACUGUCAGGCUUGAGUAUGGGAGAGG
rnacentral:rRNA from 1 species